rnacentral:snRNA from 1 species
AACUUUGCACAGGGACUGCAUCAUAGCCGAUGAGGUUUAUCCAAGGCACGAUUAUUACAAAUAGAAAA